GACGAACGCUGGCGGCGUGCUUAACACAUGCAAGUCGAACGGAAAGGCCCUGCCUUUUUGCGCUGCUCUGGUUGCGACGGGGGAAGUAACACGUGAGUUACCUGCCCUUGACUUUGGGAUAUGUUAAGAAAACUUGGGCUCAUACCGGAUAGGAGCUCCUGCUGCAGGGUGGGGGUUGGAUGGUUUCGGCGGUUGGGGGUGGAAUCGCGGCCUAUCGGCUUGUUGCUUGGGUAGUGGCUUACCAAGGCUUUGACGGGUAGCCGGCCUGAGAGGAGGACCUGCCACGCUGGGACUGAGAUACGACCCGGACUAGAAUGGGAGGCAGCGGUGGGGAGUAUUGCACAAUGGGCGGAAGCCUGAUGCAGCAACGCCGCGUGGGGGAUGAGGGGCUUGGGGUUGUAUAGCGCUGUCGCCUGUGACGAGGCGUGAGUGACGGUAAUGGGUAAAGAAGCACCGGCUAACUACGUG
rnacentral:rRNA from 1 species